ensembl:lncRNA
AAAAGAAAAACUAAAAGAUGAAAACAAACUGCCACAAUCUCUGUACAGGCAGAACAUGAGACAUGGUUGGAGCUAAGAUAACAGAGCACAACAUGGUGAUCUGACACAAGACAGCACACAGGACCAGACUAAAUAGAAAAGGAGUGAUUAACAUAGUGCAGAGCAGGUAAUGGUGGCCAAUAAUAAGAUAAUAAUGGAACAAGAGGGUGUAGACUGGCACCACGAUGACACAGAAGCACAUGGAAACUAAAGCAGAUGAAGAUGAACUCUGAUCUCUGUAAAACAGACCAGGAGUGUAUGAUCUCACAAUGACAGCCUGUGAAAGUCAGUUGCUCAAGUUGGCACCCACACA